UCCUACGGGACGCAGCAGUAGGGAAUUUUCGGCAAUGGGGGGAACCCUGACCGAGCAACGCCGCGUGAACGAAGAAGUAUUUCGGUAUGUAAAGUUCUUUUAUUGGAGAAGAAAGAGAAAUUUGACGGUAACCAAUGAAUAAGCUCCGGCUAACUACGUGCCAGCAGCCGCGGUAAUACGUAGGUGGCAAGCGUUGUCCGGAAUUACUGGGUGUAAAGGGAGCGCAGGCGGGAAGCCAAGUCAGCUGUGAAAACUACGGGCUUAACUUGUAGACUGCAGUUGAAACUGGUUUUCUUGAGUGAAGG
rnacentral:rRNA from 1 species